GUGCUCACUUCAGCAGCACAUAUACUAAAACUGGAAUGAUACAGAGAAGAUUAGCAUGGCCCCUGUGCAAGGAUGAUGUGAAAAUUCUUGAAGGGUUCCAUAUUUAA